GAUGAACGCUAGCUACAGGCUUAACACAUGCAAGUCGAGGGGAAACGACAUCGAAAGCUUGCUUUUGAUGGGCGUCGACCGGCGCACGGGUGAGUAACGCGUAUCCAACCUGCCCACCACUUGGGGAUAACCUUGCGAAAGUAAGACUAAUACCCAAUGAUAUCUCUAGAAGACAUCUGAAAGAGAUUAAAGAUUUAUCGGUGAUGGAUGGGGAUGCGUCUGAUUAGCUUGUUGGCGGGGUAACGGCCCACCAAGGCGACGAUCAGUAGGGGUUCUGAGAGGAAGGUCCCCCACAUUGGAACUGAGACACGGUCCAAACUCCUACGGGAGGCAGCAGUGAGGAUAUUGGUCAAUGGGCGAGAGCCUGAACCAGCCAAGUAGCGUGCAGGACGACGGCCCUAUGGGUUGUAAACUGCUUUUAUAAGGGAAUAAAGUGAGUCUCGUGAGACUUUUUGCAUGUACCUUAUGAAUAAGGACCGGCUAAUUCCGUGCCAGCAGCCGC
rnacentral:rRNA from 1 species